rnacentral:sRNA from 1 species
GCUGGGCAUGGUGGCACAUGCCUGCAAUCCCAACUGCUCAGGAGGCUGAGACUGGAGGAUUGCAAGUUCAAAGCCAGCCUUAUGAAAAGCAAGGUGCUAAGCAACUCAUUGAGACCCUGUCUCUA